rnacentral:rRNA from 1 species
GGCGUAUCGGAUCCUGGGCGUAAAGGGUGCGUAGGUGGUGAGGUAAGUCCGAUGUGAAAUCUCGGAGCUUAACUCCGAAAUGGCAUUGGAAACUACCUUGCUCGAGGGUUGGAGGGGGGACUGGAAUACUUGGUGUAGCAGUGAAAUGCGUAGAUAUCAAGUGGAACACCAGUGGCGAAGGCGAGUCCCUGGACAACUCCUGACACUGAGGCACGAAAGCUAGGGGAGCAAACAGGAUUAGAUACCCUGGUAGUCCUAGCCGUAAACGGUGCGUGUUUGCUGUAAAAGGAAUCGACCCCUUUUGUGGCGGAGCCAACGCGUUAAACACGCCGCCUGGGAAGUACGGUCGCAAGAUUAAAACUCAAAGAAAUUGACGGGGGCCUGCACAAGCGGUGGAGUAUGUGGCUCAAUUCGAUGCAACGCGAAGAACCUUACCUGGCCUUGACAU